rnacentral:rRNA from 1 species
GGCUUUUUGUAAGUAUAUAAGGUCUAGCCUGCCCAAUGAGAUUUUUAAUGGCCGCGGUAUUUUGACCGUGCAAAGGUAGCAUAAUCAUUAGUCUUUUAAUUGAGGGCUGGUAUGAAUGGCUGGACGAGGUGAAAGCUGUCUCGUAAGAUAUGGUACAUAAUUUUACUUUUGAGUGAAAAGGCUUAAAUAGGUGUGAGGGACGAUAAGACCCUAUAGAUCUUUACAUUUAGUAUGCAUUCCCUCUUGGGAUGCAAGACGUUUGUUUUGUUGGGGCGACAGAAGAAUAUAUUCAACUUUUUCUUUUAGGGUUAUUUAUUGAUAUGUUUUUGAUCCAUUUGUGGUGAUUAUAAGACUAAGUUACCUUAGGGAUAACAGCGUAAUCUUUCUUAAGAGUUCAUAUCGACAGGAGGGGUUGCGACCUCGAUGUUGGAUUAAGGUUUUCUCUAUGGUGUAGCAGUUAUAGAAGGAGGGUCUGUUCGACCCUUAAAUCCUUACA